AUUGAACGCUGGCGGCGUGCCUAAUACUUGCAAGUAGGACGCAGUUGCGAACGGGUGAGUAACGCGUAGGUAAAUACCUAUUUGAGGGGGAUAACUAUUGGAAACGAUAGCUCAUACCGCAUACUAGUAGAUGGACCUGCGUUGUAUUAGCCAGUAGGUAGGGUAAAGGCCUACCUAGUCAACGAUGCAUAGCCGACCUGGGAGGGGGAUCGGCCACACUGGGACUGAGGAACGGCCCAGGAUCCGACGGGAGGCAGCAGUAGGGAAUCUUCGGCAAUGGGGUGAACCCUGACCGAGCAACGCCGGGGGAGUGAAGAAGGUUUUCGGAUCGUAAAGCUCUGUUGUUAAGGAAGCGGUACUUAACCAGAAAGGGACGGCUAACUACGUGCCAGCAGCCGCGGUAAUAC
rnacentral:rRNA from 1 species